rnacentral:rRNA from 1 species
UACGGAGGGGGCUAGCGUUGUUCGGAAUUACUGGGCGUAAAGCGCGCGUAGGCGGACCUGCAAGUCAGUGGUGAAAGCCCGGAGCUCAACUCCGGAACUGCCAUUGAAACUGUGAAACUUGAGGAUGAGAGAGGUGAGUGGAAUUCCCAGUGUAGAGGUGAAAUUCGUAGAUAUUGGGAAGAACACCGGUGGCGAAGGCGGCUCACUGGCUCAUUUCUGACGCUCAGGCGCGACAGCGUGGGGAUCAAACAGG